GCGCUUUCUGACAUCGGUCACGCUCCUGAUCGGUAAUCCGGUCGGAACGGAUGCAGGAUUUCCUCGAGGGCGGACAGGUGUGUCUUAUGGGGACGGACAGGUAUAAACGCGCGUACGUCUGCGCUUCGUAGGAGGGCCCCGAAAGGCCUCAACAGACGUUUUCUCAUCGCACAGGGGAGAGCACAGAGGAACUCUGACAUGAUGUUGCUGUGGGAUAUUCAGCCGGGCGCGAGGUCUCGAGUGGACCCUCAGGAGACGAGUUUGAGGAGUUUGUUGAAGCUGCUGGUGUGACGGGGGAGUGGACGAGUCAGACAAGUGUCAGAUUUGCUCAAACAACCCGGCGGAGGUGUCGAGACAGGCGCGAGAGAAAUGGUGUCUUUCAGUACCUUUCAAAACAUGAUGUUUACCUCACAUUUCAUCACUUCCUCCGGCCUGGCUUCAUCAUCAAUCUACU